rnacentral:rRNA from 1 species
UACGGAGGGUGCAAGCGUUAUCCGGAUUCACUGGGUUUAAAGGGUGCGUAGGCGGGCAUGUAAGUCCGUGGUGAAAUCUCCGAGCUUAACUCGGAAACUGCCAUGGAUACUAUGUGUCUUGAAUGUUGUGGAGGUGAGCGGAAUAUGUCAUGUAGCGGUGAAAUGCUUAGAUAUGACAUAGAACACCAAUUGCGAAGGCAGCUUACUACACAACGAUUGACGCUGAGGCACGAAAGCGUGGGGAUCAAACAGG